rnacentral:rRNA from 1 species
GAUGAACGCUGGCGGCGUGCCUAAUACAUGCAAGUCGAGCGAACAGACGAGGAGCUUGCUCCUCUUACGUUAGCUGCGGACGGGUGAGUAACACGUGGAUAACCUACCUAUAAGACUGGGAUAACUUCGGGAAACCGGAGCUAAUACCGGAUAAUAUAUUUAACCGCAUGGUUCAAUAGUGAAAGACGGUUUUGCUGUCACUUAUAGAUGGAUCCGCGCCGCAUUAGCUAGUUGGUAAGGUAACGGCUUACCAAGGCAACGAUGCGUAGCCGACCUGAGAGGGUGAUAGGCCACACUGGAACUGAGACACGGUCCAGACUCAUACGGGAGGCAGCAGUAGGGAAUCUUCCGCAAUGGGCGAAAGCCUGACGGAGCAAAGCCGCGUGAGUGAUGAAGGUAUUCGGAUCGUAAAACUCUGUUAUUAGGGAAGAACAAAUGUGUAAGUAACUAUGCACGUCUUGACGGUACCUAAUCAGAAAGCCACGGCUAACUACGUG